UUGGAGGGCAAGUCUGGUGCCCGCAGCCGCGGUAAUUCCAGCUCCAAUAGCGUAUAUUAAAGUUGUUGCAGUUAAAAAGCUCGUAGUUGAAUUUCGGGGUCAGUAGGCUGGUCGUGCCUCAGGUACGUACUGGUCUUACUGAUUCCUCCUUCCUGACGAACCGUAAUGCCAUUAAUUUGGUGUUGCGGGGAAUCUGGACUGUUACUUUGAAAAAAUUAGAGUGUUUAAAGCAGGCUAACGCUUGAAUACAUUAGCAUGGAAUAAUGAAAUAGGACGAUCGAUCCUAUUUUGUUGGUUUCUAGGAUUGACGUAAUGAUUAAUAGGGAUAGUUGGGGGCAUUAGUAUUCAAUUGUCAGAGGUGAAAUUCUUGGAUUUAUUGAAGACUAACUACUGCGAAAGCAUUUGCCAAGGAUGUUUUCAUUAAUCAAGAACGAAAGUUAGGGGAUCGAAGACGAUCAGAUACCGUCGUAGUCUUAACCAUAAACUAUGCCGACUAGGGAUCGGAUGAUGUUAAUUUUUUAAUGACUCAUUCGGCGCCUUACGGGAAA
rnacentral:rRNA from 1 species